rnacentral:misc_RNA from 1 species
GAUGAAGAACGUAGCGAAAUGCGAUAAGUAGUGUGAAUUGCAGAAUUCAGUGAAUCAUCGAAUCUUUGAACGCACAUUGCGCCCGCUGGUAUUCCGGCGGGCAUGCCUGUUCGAGCGUCAUUUCAACCCUCAAACCCCCGGGUUUGGUGUUGGGGAUCGGCUCUGCCUCACGGCGGUGCCGCCCCCGAAAUACAUUGGCGGUCUCGCUGCAGCCUCCAUUGCGUAGUAGCUAACACCUCGCAACUGGAACGCGGCGCGGCCAUGCCGUAAAACCCCAACUUCUGAAUGUUGACCUCGGAUCAGGUAGGAAUACCCGCUGAACUUAAGCAUAUCAAUAAGCGGAGGA